UAAGAUUCCUUUUCAAUGGGCUUUGGUGU
rnacentral:piRNA from 1 species